UAAUUUAAAGUCUAGCCUGCCCAAUGAUAAUUUUAAUGGCCGCAGUAUUUUGACUGUGCAAAGGUAGCAUAAUCAUUAGUUUCUUAAUUAGAAACUAGAAUGAAAGGUUGAACGAAAAAAUAACUGUCUCUUUAUAAUUUUUUUAGAAUUUUAUUUUUGAGUUAAAAAGCUUAAAUAAAUUUGAAAGACGAGAAGACCCUAUAGAGUUUUAUAUUUUUAAAAUUGAAUUUUUAAAAUAGAAUAAUUUUUAUUUAAUUGAAUAAAAUAUUUAAUUGGGGUGAUUGAAAAAUUUAAUUAACUUUUUUUAUAUUAGUACAUAAAUAUAUGAUUAAUUGAUCCAUUAUUAAUGAUUAUAAGAUUAAAUUACCUUAGGGAUAACAGCGUAAUUUUUUUUAAGAGUUCUUAUCGAUAAAAAAGUUUGCGACCUCGAUGUUGGAUUAAAAUUAAAAUUUGGUGUAGAAGCUAAAUUAUUAGGUCUGUUCGACCUUUAAAAUUUU
rnacentral:rRNA from 1 species